rnacentral:rRNA from 1 species
CCUGACUGCUAUCGGAUUGAUACUAAGCCAUGCGAGUCAUUGUAGCAAUACAAGGCAGACGGCUCAGUAACGCGUAGUCAAUCUACCCUAUGGACGGGAAUAACCUCGGGAAACUGAGAAUAAUGCCCGAUAGAACAUUAUGCCUGGAAUGGUUAUGUUUCAAAUGAUUUAUCGCCAUAGGAUGGGACUGCGGCCUAUCAGUUUGUUGGUGAGGUAAUGGCCCACCAAGACUAUCACAGGUACGGGCUCUGAGAGGAGUAGCCCGGAGAUGGGUACUGAGACACGGACCCAGGCCCUAUGGGGCGCAGCAGGCGAGAAAACUUUGCAAUGUGCGAAAGCACGACAAGGUUAAUCCGAGUGGUUUCUGCUAAAGAAACCUUUUGUCAGUCCUAGAAACACUAACGAAUAAGGGGUGGGCAAGUUCUGGUGUCAGCCGCCGCGGUAAAACCAGCACCUCAAGUGGUCAGGAUGAUUAUUGGGCCUAAAGCAUCCGUAGCUCGUUUUGUAAGUUUUCGGUUAAAUCCAUGCGCUUAACGUAUGGGCUGCCGGGAAUACUGCAUAACUAGGAAGUGGGAGAGGUAGACGGUACUCGGGAGGAAGGGGUAAAAUCCUUUGAUCUCUUGAUGACCACCUGUGGCGAAGGCGGUCUACCAGAACACGUUCGACGGUGAGGGAUGAAAGCUGGGGGAGCAAACCGGAUUAGAUACCCGGGUAGUCCCAGCUGUAAACUAUGCAAACUCAGUGAUGCAUUGGCUUAUGGCCAAUGCAGUGCUGCAGGGAAGCCGUUAAGUUUGCCGCCUGGGAAGUACGUACGCAAGUAUGAAACUUAAAGGAAUUGGCGGGGGAGCACCACAAGGGGUGAAGCCUGCGGUUCAAUUGGAUUCAACGCCGGAAA